CGACCGGCGCACGGGUGAGUAACACGUAUGCAACCUGGCCGUCACAGGUGGAUAACCGGAAGAAAUUCCGACUAAUACAGCAUAACACUCCUGAGGGACAUCCUUCGGGAGUCAAAGGAGGCAACUCCGGUGACGGAUGGGCAUGCGGCGCAUUAGGUAGUUGGUAGGGUAACGGCCUACCAAGCCGACGAUGCGUAGGGGUUCUGAGAGGAAGGUCCCCCACAUUGGAACUGAGGCACGGUCCAAACUCCUACGGGAGGCAGCAG
rnacentral:rRNA from 1 species